UGCAUUAGCGACUCCUACUGGUUGGUUGGUGCGCCUGUUCAGCAGGGAGGGGAUCUGGGGGAGAUAGCGUUCACCUCCGCACGUGUUACGCUCUCCCAGUGAAAAGAAGCGGCUGGUGACUCCACAUGUAUUGAAGGAGGCAUGUGGUAGUCUACACCCUCCCCAGACCAACAGAAGGAUAGCGCAUCGACCAGGACCGUGAUACACAUCGGGAAUUGGUAUAACGACUAAAUUGGGGAGAAAAUGGGAGA